rnacentral:rRNA from 1 species
UACGUAGGGUGCAAGCGUUAAUCGGAAUUACUGGGCGUAAAGGGCUCGUAGGCGGCCAACUAAGUCGGAUGUGAAAUCCCCAGGCUUAACCUGGGAACUGCAUCCGAUACUGGAUGGCUUGAAUCCGGGAGAGGGAUGCAGAAUUCCAGGUGUAGCGGUGAAAUGCGUAGAUAUCUGGAGGAAUACCGGUGGCGAAGGCGGCAUCCUGGACCGGCAUUGACGCUGAGGCGCGAAAGCCAGGGGAGCAAACGGG